CUCGACCCGGAAGGGAAAGUGAGAAGCUGCAGAAGCAAGCUUCUAGAAGGCUCUAGUGAGACGCAAGCGGGUUUGGCGUUGCUCAAACCCGACCUCUUCACAAGAUCUGCAUUUUAUUUGUAGGCUUCUUGGAAAAGCACCACCCAACCAUACUCUUGAUAUGAUGCCCUUACAAUUUCUUGACAUGCAUCGGUACUCUACAGUACUCAAACCCUCGGACUACGGCACAAUCCUCAGGUGAGAGCAGACCCAUACAAGAAAAACAAAACUAACUACAUGUUGAAUUCUAAGCAAGCUU
rnacentral:lncRNA from 1 species